rnacentral:rRNA from 1 species
UAACGUAGGGUGCAAGCGUUGUCCGGAAUUAUUGGCGUAAAGAGCUACGUAGGCGGUUUGUCGCGUCUGCUGUGAAAACUCAGGGCUUAACCCUGAGCCUGCAGUGGGUACGGGCAGACUAGAGUGUGGUAGGGGAGAUCGGAAUUCCUGGUGUAGCGGUGGAAUGCGCAGAUAAUCAGGAGGAACACCGGUGGCGAAGGCGGAUCUCCUGGGCCAAUAACUGACGCUGGAGGAGCGAAAGCAUGGGGAGCGAACAGGAUUAGAUACCCCGUGUAAGU